GCAUAGAACAGCCCUCCUCAUAAAAAAAGAGCCUCAAAGCUCACUAUGGGACAGUCCCUGACUGUAAUGACUUCACAUCAGGUCCAGAUUUGUCUUAGAAUCCAAAGGCCACCAAUGGAUGAUGGGGGCCAACUUAUUAAAUACUGGGCUACACUUACAGAUAUGCCAGAAAUAAUACUUAAAACUUGUCAAACGUUAAACCUAAAGCACCCUCUCCUA